rnacentral:lncRNA from 1 species
CAGGCAUAGACAGGCCUGUGGACACCUCUUCUGGCCCUAUCCCAUCAAGAGGCAGGCUGCUAAUAGCAAAUUUCUCCACAGGUAAAGCCAAGCAGCCAAUUAUCACAGAGUGCGCAUCAAAAAGAAAGGAUGGUAACUUCACCCACUGGUGAGCCUAGAGGCUGAGUGUGAUACUGGAAGAUGGCCAGUCACUGAAGGCUUGACUGGAAAGGAGCAUCUUGACUCCCUUCUCGCUCUGAUUUUUGACCACCCCAAGGCAACGUACCAUUUCUACAUUUGAGUCUGCCAAUCCCUGACUGAAAUUCCUGAAACUGUAAGUCAAUAUAAACGUUUCCUUUAAAUUGUGGGUGUUGAGUAUUG